rnacentral:rRNA from 1 species
GAGUCGACCCCUAAGGCGAGGCCGAAAGGCGUAGUCGAUGGGAAACGGGUUAAUAUUCCCGUACUUGGUGUUACUGCGAAGGGGGGACGGAGAAGGCUAUGUUGGCCGGGCGACGGUUGUCCCGGUUUAAGCGUGUAGGUGUGUGUUCCAGGUAAAUCCGGUUCACUUUAACACUGAGGCGUGAUGACGAGGCACUACGGUGCUGAAGCAACAAAUGCCCUGCUUCCAGGAAAAGCCUCUAAGCAUCAGGUAACAUCAAAUCGUACCCCAAACCGACACAGGUGGUCAGGUAGAGAAUACCAAGGCGCUUGAGAGAACUCGGGUGAAGGAACUAGGCAAAAUGGUGCCGUAACUUCGGGAGAAGGCACGCUGACACGUAGGUGAAGUGAUUUACUCACGGAGCUGAAGUCAGUCGAAGAUACCAGCUGGCUGCAACUGUUUAUUAAAAACACAGCACUGUGCAAACACGAAAGUGGACGUAUACGGUGUGACGCCUGCCCGGUGCCGGAAGGUUAAUUGAUGGGGUCAGCGUAAGCGAAGCUCCUGAUCGAAGCCCCGGUAAACGGCGGCCGUAACUAUAACGGUCCUAAGGUAGCGAAAUUCCUUGUCGGGUAAGUUCCGACCUGCACGAAUGGCGUAAUGAUGGCCAGGCUGUCUCCACCCGAGACUCAGUGAAAUUGAACUCGCUGUGAAGAUGCAGUGUACCCGCGGCAAGACGGAAAGACCCCGUGAACCUUUACUAUAGCUUGACACUGAACAUUGAGCCUUGAUGUGUAGGAUAGGUGGGAGGCUUUGAAGUGUGGACGCCAGUCUGCAUGGAGCCGACCUUGAAAUACCACCCUUUAAUGUUUGAUGUUCUAACGUGGACCCGUAAUCCGGGUUGCGGACAGUGUCUGGUGGGUAGUUUGACUGGGGCGGUCUCCUCCUAAAGAGUAACGGAGGAGCACGAAGGUUGGCUAAUCCUGGUCGGACAUCAGGAGGUUAGUGCAAUGGCAUAAGCCAGCUUGACUGCGAGCGUGACGGCGCGAGCAGGUGCGAAAGCAGGUCAUAGUGAUCCGGUGGUUCUGAAUGGAAGGGCCAUCGCUCAACGGAUAAAAGGUACUCCGGGGAUAACAGGCUGAUACCGCCCAAGAGUUCAUAUCGACGGCGGUGUUUGGCACCUCGAUGUCGGCUCAUCACAUCCUGGGGCUGAAGUAGGUCCCAAGGGUAUGGCUGUUCGCCAUUUAAAGUGGUACGCGAGCUGGGUUUAGAACGUCGUGAGACAGUUCGGUCCCUAUCUGCCGUGGGCGCUGGAGAACUGAGGGGGGCUGCUCCUAGUACGAGAGGACCGGAGUGGACGCAUCACUGGUGUUCGGGUUGUCAUGCCAAUGGCACUGCCCGGUAGCUAAAUGCGGAAGAGAUAAGUGCUGAAAGCAUCUAAGCACGAAACUUGCCCCGAGAUGAGUUCUCCCUGAGACUUAGAGUCUCCUGAAGGAACGUUGAAGACGACGACGUUGAUAGGCCGGGUGUGUAAGCGCAGCGAUGCGUUGAGCUAACCGGUACUAAUGAACCGUGAGGCUUAACCUUACAACGCCGAAG